rnacentral:rRNA from 1 species
AACGAACGCUGGCGGCGUGGAUAAGACAUGCAAGUCGAACGGGACAGACCGAGUAGCAAUAUUUGGAAUGUUCAGUGGCGAACGGGUGCGUAACACGUGGAUAACAUUCCGGAAAGCGGGGAAUAGCCCAGGGAAACUUGGAUUAAUACCGCAUGUGGCCGCAAGGCUAAAGACGGGGACCGCAAGGCCUGUCACUUUCCGAUUGGUCCGCGGCCUGUCAGCGAGUUGGCGGGGUAAUGGCCGACCAAUGCUACGACGGGGAGCUGGUCUAAGAGGACAACCAGCAACACUGGAACUGAGACACGGUCCAGAAACCUACUGGUGGCAGCAGUCGAGAAUCGUUCACAAUGGGGGCAAACCUGGUUGAGCGACGCCGCGUGGAAGAUAAGGUCUUCGGAUUGUAAACUCCUGUCAUGCGAGAACAAGGUGCUCAGGCUAAUAACCUGAUUGUUUGAUGGUACCGCAAGAGGAAGAGACGGCUAACUCUGUGCCAGCCGCCGCCGUAAUAC